UACGUAGGGAGCGAGCGUUGUCCGGAAUUACUGGGUGUAAAGGGAGCGUAGGCGGGGAUGCAAGUUGGGUGUCAAAACUACCGGCUCAACUGGUAGUCGCACUCAAAACUGCAGCUCUUGAGUGAAGUAGAGGCAGGCGGAAUUCCUAGUGUAGCGGUGAAAUGCGUAGAUAUUAGGAGGAACACCAGUGGCGAAGGCGGCCUGCUGGGCUUUUACUGACGCUGAGGCUCGAAAGUGUGGGGAGCAAACAGG
rnacentral:rRNA from 1 species